GUCCACACCGUAAACGAUGAUUACUAGGUGUUGGAGGAUUGACCCCUUCAGUGCCGCAGUUAACACAAUAAGUAAUCCACCUGGGGAGUACGACCGCAAGGUUGAAACUCAAAGGAAUUGACGGGGGCCCGCACAAGCAGUGGAGUAUGUGGUUUAAUUCGACGCAACGCGAAGAACCUUACCAAGUCUUGACAUCCCUUGACGAACAUAGAAAUAUGUUUUCUCUUCGGAGCAAGGAGACAGGUGGUGCAUGGUU
rnacentral:rRNA from 1 species